rnacentral:rRNA from 1 species
UGGGGAAUAUUGGACAAUGGGCGCAAGCCUGAUCCAGCCAUGCCGCGUGGAUGAAGAAGGCCCUAGGGUUGUAAAGUCCUUUCGGUGGUGAAGAUAAUGACGGUAACCACAGAAGAAGCCCCGGCUAAUUUCGUGCCAGCAGCCGCGGUAAUACGAAAGGGGCUAGCGUUGUUCGGAAUUACUGGGCGUAAAGCGCACGUAGGCGGCCUUGUAAGAUGGGGGUGAAAUCCCUGGGCUCAACCCAGGAACUGCCUUCAUGACUGCAAAGCUCGAGGAUGUGAGAGGUUGGCGGAAUUCCGAGUGUAGAGGUGAAAUUCGUAGAUAUUCGGAAGAACACCAGUGGCGAAGGCGGCCAACUGGCACAUUUCUGACGCUGAGGUGCGAAAGCGUGGGGAGCAAACAGGAUUAGAUACCCAGGUAGUCCCUGAGCGGGCUGGCAAGGCGCAU